GAUGGGCGGUGAACCCGUAUGCUGUUGGGUGUGUUGGGUUCGGUGACACGCUACGGUGUUCGGGUCCACCGAGGCGUC
rnacentral:pre_miRNA from 1 species